rnacentral:misc_RNA from 1 species
UUGCAGUUGCUUGAAAAGCAUAGGUUAAGCCAUGGUAAUGUGCAAGCUUUUGGCACACCUCGCCGGCUAGUGGUCACAGUUGAGAGUCUGUGUUCUAAACAAGUAGAGAAAGAGUUUGAGGUCAGAGGACCCCCUGUUUCAAAAGCUUUUGAUGACCAAGGAAAUCCUACAAAGGCUGCUGAGGGCUUUUGCCGCAGAUACUCCAUCUCACAUGAAUCGUUGUACAGGAAGAUCGAUGGAAAGACAGAAUAUCUAUAUGCUUGUGUAAUGGAG